rnacentral:rRNA from 1 species
AGUGAACGCUGGCGGUAGGCCUAACACAUGCAAGUCGAACGGCAGCACAGUAAGAGCUUGCUCUUACGGGUGGCGAGUGGCGGACGGGUGAGGAGUACAUCGGAAUCUACUUUUUCGUGGGGGAUAACGUAGGGAAACUUACGCUAAUACCGCAUACGACCUACGGGUGAAAGCAGGGGAUCUUCGGACCUUGCGCGAUUGAAUGGGCCGAUGUCGGAUUAGCUAGUUGGCGGGGUAAAGGCCCACCAAGGCGACGAUCCGUAGCUGGUCUGAGAGGAUGAUCAGCCACACUGGAACUGAGACACGGUCCAGACUCCUACGGGAGGCAGCAGUGGGGAAUAUUGGACAAUGGGCGCAAGCCUGAUCCAGCCAUACCGCGUGGGUGAAGAAGGCCUUCGGGUUGUAAAGCCCUUUUGUUGGGAAAGAAAAGCAGCAGGUUAAUACCCCGCUGUUCUGACGGUACCCAAAGAAUAAGCACCGGCUAACUUCGUG